rnacentral:rRNA from 1 species
AUUGAACGCUGGCGGCAGGCCUAACACAUGCAAGUCGAGCGGAUCGGCGGACGGGUGAGUAAUGCCUAGGUAUCUGCCUGUUAGUGAGGGAUAAGGCUCGGAAAUGGGCACGAAUACUACAUACUAUCAGAUUAGCCUGGGUCGGAUUAGCUAGUUGGUGGGGUAAAGGCCUACAAAGGCGACGAUCCGUAGCUGGUCUGAGAGGAUGAUCAGUCACACUGGAACUGAGACACGGUCCAGACUCCUACGGGAGGCAGCAGUGGGGAAUAUUGGACAAUGGGCGAAAGCCUGAUCCAGCCAUGCCGCGUGUGUGAAGAAGGUCUUCGGAUUGUAAAGCACUUUAAGUUGGGAGGCGUUACCAACAGAAUAAGCACCGGCUAACUUCGUGCCAGCAGCCGCGGUAAUUC